AAUGGGAUUGCUGGGUCAAAUGAUAUUUCUAGUUCUAGAUCCUUGAGGAAUCACAACACUGUCUUCCACAAUGUUUGAACUAAUUUACACUCCCACCAAUAGUGUAAAAGUGUUCCUAUUUCUCCAAAUCAUCUCCAGCAUCUGUGGUUUUCUGAUUUCCUGACUGUUUCAUGAUUGCCAUUCUAACUGGUGUGAGAGAGUAUCUCAUUGUGGUUUUGAUUUGCAUUUCUCUAAUGAGCAGUGAUGAUGAGCUUUUUUUCCUGUUUGCUAGCAGCAUAAAUGUCUUGUGAGAAGUAUCUGUUCAUAUCCUUUGCCCAUUUUUUAAUGGGGUUGUUUAUUUCCUGUAAAUUUAUUUAAGUUCUUUAUAGAUUCUGGAUAUUAGCCCUUUGUUAGAUGGCUAGAUUGCAAACAUUUUCUCCCUUUCUGUAGGUUGCCUGUUCACUCUGAUGAUAGUUUCUUUUGCUGUGCAGAAACUCUGUAUUUUAAUUAGAUCCCAUUUGUCAAUUUUGGCUUUUGUUGCCAUUGCUUUUGUGGUUUAGUCAUGAAGUCUUUGACCAUUUCUAUCUCCUGAAUGGUAUUGCCUAGGUUUUCUUCUAGGGAUUUUAUGAUCUUACAUUUAAAUCUUUAAUCUAUAUUGAGUUAAUUUUUGUUUAAGGAAGGGGUUCACUUUCAGCUUUCUGCAUAUGGCUAGCCAGUUUUCCCAACACCAUUCAUUAAAUAGGGAAUCUCUUCCCCAUUGCUUGUUGUUGUCAGGUUUGUCAAAGGUCAGAUGGUUGUAGGUGUGCAAUGUUAUUUCUGAGGCCUUUGUUCUGUCGCAUUGGUGUAUAUAUCUGUUUCGGUAACAGCACCAUGCUGUUUGGAUUGCUGUAGCCUUGUAGUAGAGUUUGAAGUCAGGUAGUGUGAUGCCUCCAGCUUGGUUUUUUGUUUUUUCUUAGAAUUGUCUUGGCUAUGCAGCUCCUUUUUGAUUCCAUAUGAAAUUUAAAGUGGUUUUUUCCAAUUCUGUGAGGAAAGUCAAUGGUAGCUUGAUGGGGAUAGCAUUGAAUCUGUAGAUUACUUUGGGCAAUAUGGCCAUUUCCAUGAUGUUGAUUCUUCCUAAUCAUGAACAUGGAAUGUUUCUCCAUUUGUUUGUGUCCUCUCUUAUUUCCUUGGGCAGUAGUUUGUAGUUCGCCUUGAAGAGGUUGGUCACAUCCCCUGUAAGUUGUAUUCAGAGUUAUUUAAUUCUCUUUGUAGCAAUUGUGAAUGGGAGUUUGCUCAUGAUUUGACUCUCUGUUUGUCUGUUAUUGGUGUAUAGGAAUGUUUGUGGGUUUUGCACAUUAUUUUGUAUCCUGAGACUUUGCUGAAGUUGCUUAUCAGCUUACGGAGAUUUGGGGCUGAGAUGAUGGGGUCUUCUAAAUACACAAUCAUGUCAUCUGCAAAUAGAGACAAUUUGACUUCCUCUUUUCCUAUUUGAAUACUUUUAUUUCUUUAUUUUGCCUGAUUGCCCUGGCCAGAACUUUCAAUACUGUUUUGAAUAGAAGUGGUGAGAGAGGGCCUCCUUGUCUUGUGCCAGUUUUCAAAGAGAAUGCUUCCAGGUUUUGCCCAUUCAGUAUUAUAUUGGCUGUGGGUUUGUCAUAAAUAGCUCUUAUUAUUUUGAGAUACAUUUCAUCAAUACCUAGUUUAUUGAGAGUUUUAGCAUGAAGGGCUUUUAGUUUAAGGCCUUCUCUGCAUCUACUGAGAUGACAAUGUGAUUUUUGUCAUUGGUUCUGUUUAUGUGAUGGAUUACGUUUAUUGAUUUGCAUAUGUUGAACCAGCCUUGCAUCCCAAGGAUGAAGCCAACUUGAUUGUGUUGGAUAUGCUUUUUGAUAUGCUGUUGUCUUCAGAUUGCCAGUAUUUUCUGAGAAUUUUCACAUCGAUGUUCAUCAGGGAUAUUGGCCUGAAAUUUUCUCUUUUGGUUGUGUCUCCGCCAGGUUUUGGUAUCAUGAUGAUGUUGGCCUCAUAAAAUGAGUUAGGAAUGAUUCCCUUUUUUUGUAUUGUUUGGAAUAGUUUCAGAAGGAAUUGUACCAGCUCCUCCUGUACCUCUGGUAGAAUUUGGCUGUGAAACCACCUUGUCCUGGCUUUUUUUCAGUGGGUAGCCUAUUAAUUACCGCCUCAAUUUCAGAACUUAGUGUUGGUCUACUCAGGAAUUUGACUUCUUCACGUUUAGUCUUGGGAGGGUGUAAAUGUCCAGGAAUUUAUCCAUUUCUUCUGGAUUUUCUGAUUUAUUCUCAUAGAGGUGAUUAUAAUGUUCUCUGAUGGUAGUUUGUAUUUCUGUGGUGUUGGUGGUGAUAUCACCUUUAUCAUAUUUUAUUGCAUCUAUUUGAUUCUUCUCUUCUCUAUUUUCUUCUUUAUUAGUCUGACUAGUGAUUUAUCUAUUUUGUUGAUCUUUUCAAAAAACCAACUCCUGAAUUCAUUGAUUUUUUUAAGGGUUUUUCAUGUCUUUAUCUCCUUCAGCUCUGCUCUGAUCUUUGUCAUUUCUUGUCUUCUGCUGGCUUUUGAAUUUGUUCUUGCUUCUCUAUUUUUUUAAUCGUGAUUUUAGGGUGUCAAUUUAGAUCUUUCCUGCUUUCUCUUGUGGUCAUUGAGUGCUAUAAAUUUCCCUGUACACACUGCUUUAAAUGUGUGAUUUAAAUACCAGAGAUUCUGGUAUGUUGUGUCUUCAUUCUCAUUGGUUUCAAAGAUCAUCUUUAUUUCUGCCUUCAUUUUGUUAUUUAUCUAGUAGUCAUUCAGGAGCAGGUUGUUCAGUUUCCAUUUAGUUGUGUGGUUUUGAGUAAAUUUCUUAAUUCUAAGUUCUAAUUUGAUGCCACUGUGAUCUGAGAGACAGUUUGUUAUGAUUUCUAUUCUUUUGCAUUUGCUGAAUAGUGUUUUACUUCAAAUUACAUAGCCAAUUUUAGAAUAAGUGCUAUGUGGUGCUAAGAAUGUGUAGUCUGUGGAUUUGGGGUGGAAAGUUCUGUAGAUGUCUACUAGGUCUGCUUGGUCCAGAGCUGAGUUCAAGUCCUGGAUAUCCUUGUUAAUUUUCUGUUUCAUUGAUCUGUCUAAUAUUGACAGUGGAGUGUUACAGUCUCCCACUAUUAUCAUGUAGGAUUCUAAGUCUCUUUGUAGGUCUCUAAGAACUUGCUUUAUGUAUCUGGGUGUUCCUGUAUUGGGUGCAUAUAUAUUUAGGAUAGUUAGCUCUUCUUGUUCUAUUGAUUCGUUUAUCAUUAUGUACAGUCCUUCUUUGUCUUUUUUUAUCUUUGUUGGUUUAAAGUCUGUUUUAUAAGAGACUAGGAUUGCAGAUUGCAAACCCUACUUUUUUUUUUUUUUUUUUUUGCUUUCCAUUUGCUUGGUAAAUCUUCUUCCAUUCCUUUAUUUUGAGGCUAUGUGUAUCUUUGCACGUGAGAUGAGUCUCCUGAAUACAGCACACCAAUGGGACUUGACUCUAUCCAGUUUACCAGUCUGUGUCUUUAAUUGGGGUAUUUGGCCCAUUUACAUUUAAGGUUGAUAUUGUUAUAUGUGAAUUUGAUCCUGCCCUUAUGAUGCUAGCUGCUGUUUUGCCCAUUAGUUGAUGUAGUUUCUUCAUAGUGUCAAUGGUCUUUACAAUUUGGUAUGUUUUUGCAGUGGCUGGUACCAGUUUUUCCUUUCCAUUUUUAGUGCUUCCUUUAGGAGUUCUUGUAAGGCAGGCCUCAUGGUGACAAAAUCUCUCCACAUUUGCUUGUCCAUAAAAUAUUUUAUCUCUACUUUACCUAUGAAGCUUAGUUUGGCUGGAUGAAAUUCUGGAUUGAAAAUUCUUUUCUUUAAAAAUGUUGAAUAUUGGCCCCACUCUCUUCUGGCUUGUAGGGUUUCUGCCAAGAGAUCCACUGUUAGUCUACUAGGAUCUUUGUGAGUAACCUGACCUUUCUCUCUGGCUGCCCUUAGCAUUUUUUCUUUCUUUCAACCUUGGUGAAUCUGGCAAUUAUUUAUCUUAGGGUUGCUCUUCUCGAGGAAUAUCUUUGUGGUGUUCUCUCUAUUUCCUGAAUUUGAAUGUUGGCCUGCCUUGCUAGGUUAGGGAAGUUCUCCUAGAUAAUAUCUUGAAGAGUGUUUUCCAACUUGGUUUUUUCCUCCUCAUCACUUUCAGGCACACCGAUCAAACGUAGAUUUGGUCUUUUCCCAUAAUCCCAUAUUUCUUGGGGUCUUUGUUCAUUUCUUUUCACUCUUUUUUCUCUAAUAUUGUCUUCCUACUUUAUUUCAUUGAGUUGAUCUUCAAUAUCUGAUAUCUUUUCUUCCACUUGAUUGAUUCAGCUAUUGAAACUCAUGUAUGCUUUAUGAAGUUCUUGUGCUGUGUUUUUCAGCUCCAUCAGGUCAUUUAUGUUUUUCUCUUAGCUGGUUAACCUAGUUAGCAUUUCAUUUUUCCAAGGUUCAUAGCUUCCUUGCAUUGGGUUAGAACAUGCUCCUCCUUUAGCUUGGAUAAGUUUGUUAUUACCCACUUCCUGAAACCUGCUUCUGUCAAUUCGUCAAACUCGUUCUCCAUCCAGUUUUGUUCCCUUGCUGGUGAGGAGUUGUGUAGAGGAGAAGAGGCAUUCUGGUUUUUGUAAUUUUCAGCUUUUCGCACCGGUUUCUACCCUUCUUCAUGGAUUUAUCUACCUUUGGUCUUUGAAAUUGGUGACCUUUGGAUGGGGUCUCUGAGUGGAUGUCCUUUUUGUUGAUGUUGUAACUAUUUCUUUCUGUUUGUUAGUUUUCCUUCUAACAGGCCCCUCCACUGCAGAUUUGCUGGAGUUUGCUAGAGGUCCACUACAGACCCAGCUUUCUAGGGAAUCACCAGCGGAUGCUUCAGAACAGCAAAGAUUGCCACCUGUUCCUUCCUCUGGUAGCUUCGUCCCAGAAGGGUACCCACCAGAUUCCAGCCAGAGCUCUCCUGUGUAAGUCCCUGAUGGGCUGCUGCCUUUUUUCAGAGAUGCCCUGCCAAUCAGGAGGGCAUCUAGUGAGACAUUCUGCCUGCAACUCUGAGCUGUGGUGGGCUCCGCCCAAUUCAAACUUCCUGGCAGCUUUGCUUACACUAUUGGAGCCUUGGCAAUGGUGGACGCCACUCCCCCCACCAAGCUCGAAGUCCCAGGUCAAGCUCAGACUGCUGUGCUGGCUGCAAGAGUUUCAAGUUGGGUGUGGCUCACUGGCUUUAGCCCCCUUUCCAGGGGAGUGAACAUUUCUGUUUUGCUGGCAUUCCAGGUACCACUAGGGUAUAGGAAGAAAAAAAAACUGCUGCAGCUAGCUUGGUGUCUGCUCAAGCAGCUGCCCAGUUUUGUGUUAGAAACCCAGGGCCCUGGUGGUUGUGUAGGUACCAGAGGACAUCUCCUGGUUUGUGGGUUGUGAAGACUGUGGGGAAAGUGCAAUAUCUGGACUGGUGUGCAGGGAACCGUCCCUAAUGGCUUCCCUUGGCUAGGAGAGGGAGUUCCCCAGCCCCUUGUGCCUACCGGGUGAGGUGACACACCACCUGCUUUGGCUCACCCUCCUUGAGCUGCACCUACUGUCCAACCAGUCCCAAUGAGAUGAACCGUGUACCUCAGUUGAAAAUGUGGAAAUCACCCACCUUCUGCAUUGAUCUUGCUGGGAGCUCCAUACUGGAGCCGGAGCUGUUCCUAUUUGGCCAUCUUGCCAGCAUCCCAAGAAUAUGAUUUUUAAAAUAACUUUAUAGAUGUAAACAAAGUCUUGAAUCUGCAGGCUGAAAGGGCACAUGAGAUGCUUGAAAAAAUAUAUAUUUCCAUAUAUACACAAAUUCACUCCAAUAUAUGGCUGGCGGAGUUGCUAAAUUUCAAAGAUAGGAAAAUUGAUAGGAAAAGUGAGUUAUGUACAAAAGGGGAAAAUCAGGUUUUCUUUAUACUUCUCCAUAGUUGCAUCCUCAAAAUUUGUGGUAAUGGAUUAGGAUUGGAGACAUCUGCGUGAACUCGUGUUUAGCUGAAUGUAGAUACAGCUGGAUACAUACAGAAAUAUAUAUACACAUGCUUAUUGUGAUACUAUGAUUAUAUAUAAUCAUAAUAUAUAUCAUAUAUAUUAUGUGUGCAUAUAUAUGUAAUCAUCAUACAUAUAUGAAAUAGUCUUUUGUCUGCAGUUCCUGGCUUAUAACUUCUAUAGCCUUUGUUACACUUGUUACAGUGUCUCAUUACAAUCUUGGGGCACUUCAGGCCUCUGGAGCAAGCCUAAAGAAACAGAAUCUCUCUCUCUGACCUCCUGUCCUCCUCUUGCCUGCACAAGGCAGAACUCUACUCUGAUUGUGGAUCAAGAGGCCUUUGUUCCAGAGAGGCUCCUGCCCUAUACUCUGGAGGAAGGAAUGCUACACAGAGAGGCCAGGAAGAAUCUGUACAAGGUAAGGCCUCCCUGGCUUUCCCCGUCUAGGUAUGAUCUCACAUAUAAGAUCACAUCCUUUUUGUUGAAUCACCUUUCUACAUGGUUGUCAAUCUUGCCUAUAAUGAAGACUCCAUAGAAACCCUAAAGGAUAGGGUUUGGGGAGCUUCCAGAGAGCUGAACUCUUGGAGGCCAACAGAAAGGUAAAGAACUCAUCCACAUGGUGGGAGGGUGGUGCACCACAACUCCACAGGUACCAAACCUCCUGCAUUCAGGGCCCUUCCAGACCUCGCCCUAUGUAUCUCUUCCUCUAGCUGUUUAUUUGUAUCCUUAUAAUAUCCUUUGUAAUAAACUGGUAAACCUACAUGUUUCCCUGAGUUCUGUGAACCAGCCUAGCAAAUUAGUCAAACCCAGAAGGGGUCAUGGGAACCGUAACUUGAAUCCAGUUGGUUGGAUGUUCUAGGGGCCUCACACUUGCACCUCAAAGGGAAGGACAGGGUGGUAUUGGGACUGAGCCCUCAACCUGUGGGAUCUGAUGUUAUCUCUGUGUAGACAGUGUCAGAACUGAAUUGCAGGAUACCCAGCUGGUGUCCACUGCUUGGUGUGUGAGGGAAACCCCACACAUUUGUUCACAGGCAUCAUUUUCUCUGUUGAUGAUUGUUGUGGUAAUGUGAGAACAGAGAAGAACAAGGUUUGAGAAUUUUCCCUAUACACACAUAUACACUGGUUAGUAUACACGUUUCUUUGCUUUGCCACUGAGCGACUCUAGAAGAACCAAAACAAAAAAAUGUGCUACCCCAUAGGACAGUGAAGACACCCACCACACAGAUCUUAUAUUUAAAUACCAUUCUACAGUAAAGGGAAACAGGGCUCCCGGAGAAAUGGCUGAUACUAGAAUGGGGCAGGGCUGAGUCUGCAGCAUCCUGUGGUGCCAGAAAGUAAGGAAAGUAAGGAGAUGCUCAAAUAACAAAACAAUGGGUAUAUGUCACCUGAACUCAGAAGCCAACAAAAGGAGCUCCCCAAGGCCAAAGCUGAAACAAUAUGAGCAACAAAAUAAAUAGCAGUAUUGGAUUAUAACCCAAAGAAUAAAAUACAUCCUUGAGUCCAUAGUGGCAAAAAUAAAUAUAUUGAGUGAAUAAAUAAAUGCAUAAAUAAGAAUAGGCAAAUCUGAACAAAAGAAUUUCGAGUAAUGUAUGCACUGUCUCCCUCACGUAGGUAAAGCAUAAUAACAUCCUGCCCCUUACGUACAGGCUGCACACAGUGACUUCCAUCCAACAAGUACAAUAUAGAAUGGGGUACAAAGAGUGGAGAAACCUGACAAACACUGCCUCGGCCCUGUGAUCAAGCCCAGCAUUGGUGUAAGUUGUGUUCAUGGCAUGUACCCUUGAUACAAUGUGAUGAGAAUGACGCUUUACUUCUGUUCUCUUCCUUGCACGAACCCAUAACCUCAGUGUCAUUAUGAGAAUAACAUCAGACAAAUUGAGAGCUAGCCUACAAAGUACCCUGACUUGUACUCCUCAAAACUGUCAAGGUCAUCAAACACAGGGAAAGUCUGAGAAACCACAGCCCAGAGAAGUUCAAGGAGGUACGAUGCUUCAUAUGCUGUGGUAUCCUGGAUAGAAUCCUGGAUCAGAAAAAGAAGAGCAGGUGAAAAGAAAUUCAAAUAAAGUGUGGACUUUAGUUAAUUUUAGUAUAUCAAUAUUUUUUCAUUACUUUUAACUGACAGAUAUACUAAUGUGACACAUUAACAACAAGAGAAACUGUGAGGUUCCCUUAUGCCCUUGGUACUAUCUCUGUAACUUUUCUGUAAAUGUAAAACUAUUCAAAAAUUAGAAAAUAUUUUAAAACAAAAUUUUUUCAACCCAGAACACAUAGAUGGUGUGAGUUUCUUUCCUUUCUUCUUUUCUGUUUUUUCUAUCCAUUCAUGCUUUCAUCCAUCUCUUCUUCCAUCCAUUCUUCUCUCUGUGUAUACAUGGAGAAAUGUCUGUAAUAGCAUCCACCACAUUUAAGGACCGCUGCACCUAAAUAGUGCAUUUUGUAGUGGUUUUCUGAACUGUUUGACUUAUUUUUUAAGAUCAUGCUACUUCUAUUAAAGUAUUAAAGUCACUAUACUUUUUAAAUGAAGAAGUUGGAGAGAGAAAUAUUAAUCAUUAAGAAUUUAUUUUUCCUAAUAAUAUGCUAGAUGUAACAAAAAUCAACACUAUUUCAUUUUAAAAAGAUAGGCAGGAUAUUUGGUCUAAGACAAGGUUUGCUGAAUGACCAUAAUUCAUCAGUACAUUUGAUUGCAGUUAAUUACAUAAUCAAAACCCAAAAACAUUCAACCUGAGAGGGCUGAUUUUAAAAAAUGAAAACAAGAAACCAUGUGUUUAAUUUUUUUUCCUGUGGGAACACAUACACAGUGUCUUAAUUGUGUGAUUUUGCUAUUAAGGUACAUCACAUAUUUUAUAGUCAGCCCCCACAGGAAAGAGAAAUGCUCAAUUAAUCCUAUUUCUAUCCAGGAGAGCUCAGUUUCUAGUUAAGAAUUAAACAUAUCUAAAAGCAAACAAUACACUACUGACUUCACAACAGAGCUCUGCCUAAUGUCAGAUGUGGUUCUGACUUGAUAUAAAUAGUUGUUUCAGGAUAAUAUAAUUGCAAUAAGGAGUUUAUUAUGAUUAAAUGGAAAGAAGACAAAUCUUGAGAAGAGUCACUGCCUUUUCUCCCUAACCCUCUGUGGAAAACUAGAACGUGUCACCCUAAAAUAUGAAGGAUUAAGCUGAAGGCAAUGAAGAAUAGGAAUCAGGAAAGCUCUUUGCCCUUCCUCUGUUUGCCUAAAAGCAGGACAUAGACUCACAAAGACAAAAGGAAUCCUGCCUGCUUCUCUACCAGGGAGAAUAAAGGUUAGCCACUGAAGACAGCUUUAGACCUCAUAAACCUGAGCAUGGACAAACAUUACUAACUGGCCUUCAUCUGCCAUCUAUUUGCCUUCCAUACUUGCCAUCCCUAGAGACUCAAAAUCCUUUCACUUUGUCCUGUUAUUACUUAAAAAUUGACUAUUCUUUGUUGACAAUGCUAUUUAGCUGGAAUUCAAAGCCACCUUUUUGAAAACUACUCGUUACCUGGGUGUCUCCCAUGUAUAUAUGAAAUAUAUAUACAAAUAAAUUUCUGCUUUUUUUCCUCUUUUUAAUCUACCUUUUGUUACAGGGAGCUGUUCCAACUAAGAACCUAUGAGGGUUGAAGAAAAAUUUAUUUUUCUUCUCCUACACCUCAAAACAGCAAAGGUGGCCAGAUCUCUCAACUUUUAAAUUUUUAUGUUAAUUGGAGGCAGAUUUUUAAACUGCGGAAUUUUAGUACUGGUAGAAAUAACCAAGAUCAAUCCAAGAGUCUAAGUCCUUCAUGUUGCAGAUGAGGAACAAAGGAUUUUCAUGCCCACUUUUGUUUUUGUUUUUAUUUUUUGAGACAGUCUCCCUGUCACCCAGGCUGGAGUGCAGUGGAGCAAUGUUGGCUCACUCCAACCUCUGCCUCCUGGGCUCAUGGAAUUCUUCUGCCUCAGCCACCCCAAGAGCUGGGAUUACAGUCGUGCACCACCAUACCUGGCAAAUCUUUGUAUUUUUAGUAGAGAUGUGGUUUCACCACAUUGACCAGGCUGAUUUUGAACUCCUGGCCUCAAGAGAUCUUCCCGCCUCAGCCUCCCAAAGUGCUGGGAUUACAGGCAUGAGCCCCUGCUCCCAUUCUUCAUGCUCAGUUUUAAGGAAACCUGAUAGACCCAAUUCUUCUGGCAAAAUAGAUAAAUUGAGGUAGAUAUUCAUUUUACAAAAUGUUUCAAUGCAAUAUUUCUUUAAAUAUGCCCCCCAUAUGUUUUAAAAGUAUUAUUCAACUUAUAAAAUGGAAUUCACACACGAUUUUCAGGAAUUCACCUACAUUUAGCAAAUACACAUUUCUGUAAUGUCUCCUGUGUACAAAACUCUGUGUUAGGCACCACAGCGAUUGCAGGACCCCAGCUCCACUGUGAAGUAAUAUAUGACUUUGAAGAAAACUUUAUUUGUCCUAAAAACUGACAGUGCUCUCAAAACAAGGUGUAAUGGUUUUCAGAAAUCAUCAGAGUCCAUCAACAAGCAACAAAACCAUUGUCUGAGUCUCACUUCCAUUUCCUAGUGCCUUCGUCCUCCUCCACAUUUUCCUCCAUUUCAACGCUUUCCUUGUGUACCAGGCCAAAAGCCUGCAAACAUCUGAGUAAGAGGUCACAUAUGCAAAUUUCCAAGAAAAAAAAAUGAACCCAAAUAGAAAUGAACUAGAAAGGAGACAAAUAUUAAGAUUCUUCCAACUCCUUUACUCUUUGACUGGCCUUCAUUUUGGAUUUCUAUUAUAUGGUGGGCAUGUAUCUUAAUGUUUUCAUUAACCCAGAUGACUGGCUUGUAAUUUUCAGCAAAUCAUACAUUCUGAGAUUCAAUGUGAUUCUGCUAUUGAUCUUCUUGAAAGGAAUGUUUUAAGAUUUUACUAGCAGGGGGAAUGUGAAGGCCAAUGUAAGUAUCAGGACACUCUUUUGAAGGUUUCACCUUACUAGAAGUUAUUUACCUAUAGACAAUCAUAGAGUGUGAAAGUUCUUGGGGAGUUUAUGAAACUAAUAGAUCAACUCCAGGACUAGGGAUAAAAAUCAAAAGGAAACACAAUUUAAUUCUUAAUUUACAGAAGCAAAGCAGCUAUGUGUAAGUCAAGGUGUGAUUAUUUGUAAAGGAUCAAUAAUUGGGGUAGAAAUGAUAAAGUGUUACUCACACACCAUUGUUACCACUAAGGCACUAUUAUGGUAGUGGAAAGAUCUGGGCAGAUCCUAUAGGAGUUUCAUGAGAUGAAAUUCAAGUGUACUAAAUAAUAGUAGAUUGAUGAGAAUUUAUCUGAUUGUUCUUGAUUCUCUUCCCUGCCUCCCAAAGCUACUGUCUUCCAGGCUCACAGAAUCUUUGGUGGCAGCAUUUUGCUUUUUGAGGUAUAUCCAAGGUCAAGGUUUGAAGUAGUUAGAAAAUCUGACAAGAAGAAAAAACCGAAUAAUGAAAACAAUGUAUGAAUAGGAAGAAAAGUCAAGUCGAAUUUACAUUUCUAAAGAUGCUAUGCUUCUGGCCAGGGGAAAUAAUACAUUUUGCCAGUUGACUUCAUGGUGUCCCACUCUGGGCUCAGACACAGAUGGAAUAAAUGUUGGAGCUUCUUCCUAGAAUUGUAUGGCCAGAUUCUUAUAAUUUAGGAUUGUCUAAGUUAAUCCUUGAAGAGAUCAGAACUUCCUGGCCUCUCAACUCACGGAUGUUCUUAUCCAGGGUUAACAAUGCUGAGGCUGUGCUUUGCUCCUAUGAGACUAACAAGUGCACCGUGUUCUUGGCAGUCCCUUAGCUGAUACUGCCGCUCCUGGGAAGACCUGUUGUUGCUUAUGUUUUAGCUUCACCCUUUCCCUCCCUCUUCCUUUCAAUCAGACACCCCUUUCUCAGCACACUGAGAAUUCCCUGAGAGUCAGUGCACAGCCAACAUUUGUGGGUCUGGCCCAUAUGCACAUGUCCUGAGCAAACUAGAAAUCUACAUAGGCUUGAGGGAAAGUUAAUGAAACAUGAACUGACCACUCUAACAUUUCACAACCAGGGAAGUCUUACAGAAAUGAAAUGGAAAAUGAAUUAAAAUAUCAAGAUUGAGGCUUUAAAAUAUCAAGAUUGAGGCUUUAAAAAAAUGUGAGAAGAGCGUUGACAUCCCAUGUGGGAAGCAUAGGGGUCUGUUCCAGUUGUUUUAGGAAGAGUCAGCUCACAGCUGAGAGAUGCUUACAGCUGAGUGUUCUGAGCAACUUGCACACGGCAGGGGGAGGAAGAGCAGAAGGAGAAGAUGUGAACUGUCGGCCCAAGCGUUUCAUGGGCAUUCAUCUCAUAGCAGAGCUCCUGAGCUGAUAGGGAUCUUUAAUUUCAGUUGAGUCAUCUGAGCUCAUAGUUAAAAUAAUAAUGAUAAUAUUAAUAGCAACUGCUGGGAACGUGCCAGACCCCUUGAUGAUAACCGAGCAGCCCCGGGCCUCUGGAAAGAAUGGCGAAAUCCGAGACAUUUGAGAUUACAAGAAGAAACCGUGGUUGUCAUUUCAUUUGUCGUGCUGUCUUAAACUUAGUUUGCCUGAGCAGUUAAGGUGGUGGGAAUUAGCUUAUGGAUUCAUUACACUCAACUAAAGCCUCGGACACCUGCUGAAGAAAAUCAUAGGCCCUCCACUCCGCAGCCUAAAGUUCCAAAUUGCAACCCUUCGGACACCUGCGAGCCAUUAGCGAAUAUGCGUUUGCUCUUCCAACAAGAUCCCCAGGAAGGUCUCUGAAGAAAAGUAACCAACAAUCAGAAAUUAUUUGUGAUUUGGGGAAAGAACUUGUUUUAUGAAGUCAUUCAAAAGUCUUUUUCUUUUUCUUUUACUUGAAUGUCCAAUAACAAUUUGAAGUUAUUCCUUUGAUGAUUUCAAUACACUUAUCAUACUAGCAUCAAUCCUGUCUUUUAAUUUUUUUAUUUUUAUAUGUUUUUCUGAAAGCUGAAGUAAGUCCGGCCUUUUUAAUAGCAAACAACUUGGCUGACAAACUAGCAGAAAAUGGAGGAAUUUAAAGAAAAAUAUACACAGAUAUAUACUUGGUAAACUACAGCAAGCAUGAGGUAUUUAUGACACCUUGAUUAUUGAGAUUUAGCUUUUUCAGUAUAAAAGAACAUUCCUGUUGCAAAAAUCUGAGAAGGAAAGAUGGCAGCAAGGAUCAAAGAAACUGAACAAGCAGUGUAAUUGACAUGACAGAGCUGGUAUAAGCCACAAUUCCAAUUAGUAAGUGCAAGGGAAAGAACAUAGAUUAAUUAGGGUAGUUACCCAGGGAAUCCCUGAGGGGACACGUUUUACAGGCAUGAAUUUAAAAAAGAAAGGAGCAGAGUCUAGGAGAAAUACAAUAGACUGGCAUGAAUCUUUGAGAGUGCCUAGAAAAUCAAAGCCAAAAAUAGGCUGAGGCUUAAGAAAAAGGCAGAAAACAACUAGAGGGACGUUUUUAUUUGAUCUGACAAAAAGCAGAAAGAAAAUGUACCUCAUGAAGCGUUAGAACUUUAAGCAGAUAAGGCUACCCUAAGGAUGCAUUUGCUUGCUUGGAAUAAAUGCAAACCUCCAAGCUCAGAGAAAAAACAGACACAAUACAGCAGCAAAUGUGAGUAAAUAAUCUGUCAAUCAUUAUUUGAAAAAUUACAGUGAAUUAGAGAUAUAAAAGAUCUGUACAAAAGAAAACAUUGCCUCAGUAAGAGGAGUGGUGCCUGAUGCACUGAUAAUAUGGAUUUAUCCUUAUGUCACAUUGUUCAUUUUCAGCCAUCCUUAUAUGUGGUCUCUCACAUUGUCAUCUGUCACAUGUAAGUCUGCUCUAGAAUGGAUGCACAUAUCAUUCUCCAAAAGCUGUUGGUUACCAGUUACAGAAAAUGCUGAAUCUCUGUGUCCCCGACUACAUACUGCAGAUAUUUUGAAAUAUAGUGUGUUCUUCUACUUACAAGAAUUUGCUGUCACUAAUAUUCUUAGCUGAAUAUAAUACCAGCUUCCAAUAACUUCCCACCCUAGGGACGAUCUCUCUUACAUGUCUGCAGCUGAGCAGGCUUCUCUUCCAUGUGUCUUCUCCUCUCUCUAUCCCUCAUCUUCUUCCUCCUUUGUUUUCUCUUUCUGCUGAGAAGUAAGGUGCUUCACAUUCCUCUUUUUUUUUGUUCUUGGAGAGAAUUAAUUCCAGCUUUGAGUCUAAGGUCAAAACAAAUUAUCCAAUGGACAGCACAGACAGCAUCUUAUUUCCUGAGUACCACUAAUAAGUAUCCUACCCAAUAAGCCAUCACUAGAAAGUGAGGGGCACUUGGCAAUUAAUUUUUCAGGGCCUUGUCUAAUACUACCAGUUUGAUCUUUAAAACAAAAUAUGAAUUCAUGGGCUCAUGUAAGGUAUGGUGAUUUUUCAAUGAAGGGAUAGAAUGAUGAGUAGAAAAGAGACACAUAUUGGUUUCUUUUCCAUUCAGUGCAUAUGAAGAUUCUGCUUAGUGUUAAAGCACCAUCUCUUCCUGUCCAGGUACAGGAAUCAUCAGUUCACAUUCUUCACUGUCAUCUGCAACAUUUUUGGCUCUUUCAUACUGCCUCCUGGGAGAAAAAGAUAGCAAUGCUGUUAUUACUAACAAUGCUACGGCUCUUCAGAUCUGUUCAUAUUUUUCAAAAUAUAGGCCUCUUUCCUCUUUAGUUCCCUAACUCCAUUUAGUUAGUGCUGAUUACUUCAUUGCUUCUGACACCACAUCAUUCAUCGUGCUGCCUAUAAAUAUUGGCAUCUAAUGACUCACACAAAAGUUCUUAUUAUACUUCAUUGACAAUGCCUACAUAUAUGCAGGUUUUAGUCACAGGAUGCACAAAAAUAUAAAUGAUCAUUUGUUUUGAUUGUGUUGUUUACUCUUCACAUUUGUAUGGUGUAAAACAAAACAACAUAUCUUCCAAUCUUACGUUUUCUUUAAACUCUUUAGACCACAGUCCUGGCAUUUCUUGAAUGUGAUAUUUUUGCAUGUUGACCACACUCUUGUCUUCCACACGCUGCCACCCAGGUGAGAGAUAAAAGGAGUGUUUCCAUCAGGGCAAGAAAUGUCUCUCACUUAUUCAACAUACCUUAAGACCAAGCUGGGAGAACGUGAUGUCACCACAUCGAUCAGAGGCAAGAGAGAACAUCAGCUGAGAGGGCCCAUUGGCACUGCAGAACCACAGUCUGAAAAUGCUUAUGAAGAAAGAGGUGCAGCCACUCCCAGAGGUGGCCUAAUAUGUAGUAUGGAGCCUAUGAAGGGAAUGGGGCAAAUGAUCUUGCUGCCUUCGGGUAUCGCAGACUGCAGAUGAUCUUGCUGUCACAACAUGGAUAAGCAAGAGCCAACACACGGAUCCAGAUACAUGGCUCAAGGCCAAGGGAUAGUAGUGGCCAACUGGUACUCCAAGGCCCUGAACUCAUCCUGUGUACAACAUGUUUGAGAGUUACCCAGAAUGAUCACAUGAGCAACAUUCUGGGAACCAAAUCUUGUGUGAGCUCACAAAGGAAAUACUAUGUGGGUUUUCAGGAGUGAUCAGCUUACCAAGCUACCCUUCUGGAACCAGGAUCUAGCCAUUUGAGCCCAGCCAUGAAACCCUAGGAUGCUCCCUUAGGUGCAAAUAUUACAGGUACUCUAGUUAAGUCUGUCAUGUAGGUUGAGGAGCUCCAAAUACCUCAAAAAGGAGAAAAUGAGACUGAGGCCCAUGCAUGUCUCAAUCCAGCCUCAGAGAUCUCUGAUUGGAUGGCCCUACCAGCCCCUGCUUUCACUGUACCCCAUAAGUUUUGAUAUUUUUCAGACCCUGAAUUCUGAUGCACCAGCUGAUGCCACCCAGACUGGUAAUUUGGCCCAACCAGUUUUGUGAUCCCACCCAGGAAAAGAAGGCAGCGAGAAGCAGCUAAUUUAAGCCCCUAUGAUUUCAUCUUUGAUCUGACCAAUCAGUACUCCCUACUCCCUGGUCCCUACUCACCAAAUUCUCCUUAAAAGCUCUGGUCUCCAAAUGUUCAUGGCGACUGAUUUCAGUAAUAAAACUCUGGUUUCCCAUUUAGCUGGCUCUCUGUGAAUUAAACUCUCUCUCUACAGCUAUUCUCCUGUCUUGAUAAAUCAGCUCUAUCUUCGCAGUGGGCAAGAAAAAUCCAUUGGGCCAUUACACUUUAAGGUCUUUCUAGAACAAAAUUCUCUCACAGACAAUGGUAGCUCAAGCUGCUGAUACAGCAUGGCCAUUUGUGCAAAUAAGGGCUCUUUGCACAUUGGAUGUCUCUCUGACUUCCUAUGCUCUUCUGUACUCUCUUUCUUUUGCUAUAUCAUAUCCUUUGCCUUUAAAUAAAUGCCUAUAUGAAUAUACUCUGUGGAGUCUGGUGAAUCAUUUCAAAUAACCAAACUGGGAAAAUCUUUGCAAUGCUAUAUCUAUACAAUAUAAUACUAUGCAGCCGCAGAA